AAGCUACUCCCUCCGUCCCAUAUUAAGUGACUCAAAUUUGCCAAAAUAUGGAUGUAUCUAUGCCUAAAAAGCGUCUAGAUACAUGUAAUAGAAAGUCACUUAAUAUGGGACAGGGGGAGUAUAAG
rnacentral:pre_miRNA from 1 species